AUUGAACGCUGGCGGCAGGCCUAACACAUGCAAGUCGGACGGUAGCACAGAGGAGCUUGCUCCUCGGGUGACGAGUGGCGGACGGGUGAGUAAUGUCUGGGGAUCUGCCCGAUAGAGGGGGAUAACCACUGGAAACGGUGGCUAAUACCGCAUAACGUCGCAAGACCAAAGAGGGGGACCUUCGGGCCUCUCACUAUCGGAUGAACCCAGAUGGGAUUAGCUAGUAGGCGGGGUAACGGCCCACCUAGGCGACGAUCCCUAGCUGGUCUGAGAGGAUGACCAGCCACACGGGAACUGAGACACGGUCCAGACUCCUACGGGAGGCAGCAGUGGGGAAUAUUGCACAAUGGGCGCAAGCCUGAUUCAGCCAUGCCGCGUGUAUGAAGAAGGCCUUCGGGUUGUAAAGUACUUUCAGCGGGGAGGAAGGCGAUGUGGUUAAUAACCGCGUCGAUUGACGUUACCCGCAGAAGAAGCACCGGCUAACUCCGUGCCAGCCGCCGCCGUAA
rnacentral:rRNA from 1 species